rnacentral:tRNA from 1 species
GCCUUGGUGGUCUAGAGGUAUGAUUGUCGCUUCGGGUGUGACAGGUCCCGGGUUCGAAUCCCGGCUGAGGCC